rnacentral:misc_RNA from 1 species
GAUGAAGAACGUAGCGAAAUGCGAUAAGUAGUGUGAAUUGCAGAAUUCAGUGAAUCAUCGAAUCUUUGAACGCACAUUGCGCCCGCCAGUAUUCUGGCGGGCAUGCCUGUUCGAGCGUCAUUUCAACCAUCAAGCCCCAGGCUUGUGUUGGGGACCUGCGGCUGCCGCAGGCCCUGAAAACCAGUGGCGGGCUCGCUAGUCACACCGAGCGUAGUAGCAUACACAUCGCUCAGGGCGUGCUGCGGGUUCCGGCCGUUAAACCCCUUUUUUACCCAAGGUUGACCUCGGAUCAGGUAGGAAGACCCGCUGAACUUAAGCAUAUCAAUAAGCGGAGGA